rnacentral:rRNA from 1 species
UGAGGAAUAUUGGUCAAUGGGCGAGAGCCUGAACCAGCCAAGUCGCGUGAAGGAAGAAGGAUCUAUGGUUCGUAAACUUCUUUUGCAAGGGAAUAAAGUGGGCCACGUGUGGCCUUUUGCAAGUGCCUUGCGAAUAAGGAUCGGCUAACUCCGUGCCAGCAGCCGCGGUAAUACGGAGGAUCCGAGCGUUAUCCGGAUUUAUUGGGUUUAAAGGGUGCUCAGGCGGGACAUUAAGUCGGCGGUGAAAUUUUGCGGCUCAACCGUAAAAGUGCCUUCGAAACUGGUAUCCUUGAGUGUGGAUGAGGUAGGCGGAAUUUGUGGUGUAGCGGUGAAAUGCAUAGAUAUCACGAGGAACUCCGAUUGCGCAGGCAGCUUACUAAGCCAUAACUGACGCUCAAGCACGAAGGCGUGGGGAUCAAACA